AGACUAGCAUGAAUGAAUACACGAAGGGGGCUCUGUCUCUUACUUAAAUAUAAAAAUUUAUCUUUAGGUGAAGAAGCCUAAAUAAAAUAAAAAGACAAGAAGACCCUAUCAAGUUUAAUUAUAAUUUUAUUUUCUAUAAAUAUUAUAAUUUUAUUGGGGCGAUAUAAAAUAAUAAAAAUCAUUUUCAAUAUUAAGAUUCUAAUUCUCUUAAAUUAACUUAAUAAUAAAUAUAAAAAAACUACUGUAGGGAUAACAGGCUAAUAAUUUCUAAGAGUCCACAUCAACGAAAUUGUUUGGCACCUC
rnacentral:rRNA from 1 species